rnacentral:tRNA from 1 species
CUUUUUAUAGGUUAAAGCCAACAAACCGGGAGCCUGUGGAGCUUCAGAUCUACUUUAGUAAAAAGC